AAUAAAAUAAAGAACAAUUUAAAACAUAUCGAACUGGAGGAAAUUGUGAUUUAAACUACUUGAAAACUAAAGAACAAUUGAUUAAAAGUGAAUCGAAAUUCGAAACAGAUCGAAUUGACUGAGACUAUAAAUUCAACUUGAAGAGCGAGAAGAACCCAAAACAUCAUCUUUGCCUCCAAUCAAUUUCUGUGAACUCAGUGUCAAUGAACAGCUACUAGACUUCUUAUAAGUCGUUCUUAGUCUCUCCUUCACGCUCGCACAUCAUUCUCUAUCUACUUGGCUUCUUCUUUACACGAUAAAGAGAGUGAGAGAGAUGCUUCAGACGAUGUCACCAUCUUUGGCGAUUCAUAGUUAAAAGGUUAGUAGUAAACUACUUUUCCUUUUGUUCUAAGCAUUUCUCCCAUAGUAAUUGUUGGAUUUGGUUGAGUUUUGGUAAAAAUCAUCAUUGAUGGUGCCUUGAGAUUAUUAGCAUGGCUAUCUCCGCUAAUUGGACAAACAUCACAUCAAAUUAAUACCAAACUUGUGAUCCUUGUGAUUAAAGAAGUAAAUUGGUAUAUUUUUUAUGGCAAUCCAAUUUUCUAGCCCUGCCGCCCCAACAAUAAUGAUGGCAAAAGUGGUCGUCGGUGGAAUAAUUCCGAAGUUCUGACAAGUCAUAGAAGACAUAAUCUUCGUCUUUUUGUGUGGAUUGCGAUAAUAUAAGCAUUCUUUUUAAUAGGUGAGUAUUAGGCUCUGAUUCCAGUUCACUACAAAAAAAUGGAUUUUAGUAAACGAAUUUAGCGGUUGACUUGACGCUUUCGCUAAAUAGUGACAGAUCAGCGGCCGACUAUGAGGGAAACUGAACGUGAAACUUGUGUACUUUUACCGACAGAAUCAGCAACUAUUAACGACAGGUAUAGCGAGGGACCCAACAUCCGUCACUCAUUUUCACGCGAAGAAUUGGAGCCAACCAAAGGUAAAGAUCAGCGACUAAUCAAUGACCACCAUGACGAUGAAAUAGCGACGGGUGUGGAUUCCUAGCUAUAUUUGACGGGAAUUAAUAGUGACCAAUUAGCGAUUAUUGGGAAACAGAUGUGACGAUCAAAAUUCCAAUAACAUUAGCGACCGAGUUGAUAAUAUAGCGACAGAACUUAUUUGCCAUGUCAAUUAAAAUAGCGACCGAUUUUGUUAAAUUACGAUCGAUACGGCGGUCGCUAAUUUUGUAGGGCGAUUUAGUCGCCUUUCUCUCUCACGCGAGACUAAUUUCAAAAAAUCAGUCUCAUGCCUCUCUCCCUCCCUCUCUGUCUACUUGCUCCCUCUACAUCUCUAGCCCUAUCUCUCACUUCCGCACCGGUGAAGAGCGCAGCUCGUCUCGCUGCCGUCGAGCAGCACCGCAAGCCAAUAAGUUGAACCGUCAGCCUAUCCCUAUGGAAGUCUUCAUAUUUACACAUAAGAAGGACCAUGAUGCAGUCACAUUCAUUGAUAGGCGUGCCGAGCUUGUUAGUAUAACUACACUAUUAGGAAAGAGUGAGCUACUGCAUCUCCGGCUCAAACUGCUGAGCAGCCUAUGAUCGAGGAGUUGCAGUUUUAUCUUUAGGCUGCAGGAGGCGAGAAGAAGAGAAAAGUGUAUAGGAUUGAUUUACAGUCAGACAUUUUCUAUAGCCGCACGUAUGGGGCUUAGCGAGUAGAGCCACACUAGUUGAGCCAGAGGCACGUACUGAGGAGAUUCAAGAUUUACGGGCUGAACUUUAGGCGUAGCAGCAGCACAUAUCACAACUUAUAUUGCAGCAGCAGUAGCUGAUGCAUAUGUAUGCUUGAGAAUGGCCUACUACACUGCCAACUCUCUCUGCACCGAUAGAUCACUUUGAUUCCCCAACUUCUUCAACAUUGCCUGCUUCUCAGAGUCCCAUUACAAAUCUUGCAGAUCAAACCCCCUUAGACUUUUUUUAUUAUCAUGUUUAUUUUGUAUAUAUAUUACUGUAUAAUUUGUAUAAUU